CGCUCCCAGAAGUUUGAUCAUGGCUCAGGACGACGCUGGCGCGUGCUAAUACAUGCAAGUCGAGCGGACCGACGGGAGCUUGCUCCCUUAGGUCAGCGGCGGACGGGUGAGUAACACGUGGGUAACCUGCCUGUAAGACUGGGAUAACUCCGGGAAACCGGGGCUAAUACCGGAUGCUUGAUUGAACCCGCAUGGUUCAAUCAUAAAAGGUGGCUUUCAGCUACCACUUGCAGAUGGACCCGCGGCGCAUUAGCUAGUUGGUGAGGUAACGGCUCACCAAGGCGACGAUGCGUAGCACUGACCUGAGAGGGUGAUCGGCCACACUGGGACUGAGACACGGCCCAGACUCCUACGGGAGGCAGCAGUAGGGAAUCUUCCGCAAUGGACGAAAGUCUGACGGAGCAACGCCGCGUGAGUGAUGAAGGUUUUCGGAUCGUAAAACUCUGUUGUUAGGGAAGAACAAGUACCGUUCGAAUAGGGCGGCACCUUGACGGUACCUAACCAGAAAGCCACGGCUAACUACGUGCCAGCAGCCGCGGUAAUACGUAGGUGGCAAGCGUUGUCCGGAAUUAUUGGGCGUAAAGCGCGCGCAGGGCGGUUUCUUAAGUCUGAUGUGAAAGAGAAAGUGACCGUCGAGGGCAUGGAAACUGGGGAACUUGAGGAAGAAAAAGAGAGUGGAAUUCCACGUGUAGCGGUGAAAUGCGUAGAGAUGUGGAGGAACACCAGUGGCGAAGGCGACUCUCUGGUCUGUAACUGACGCUGAGGCGCGAAAGCGUGGGGAGCGAACAGGAUUAGAUACCCUGGUAGUCCACGCCGUAAACGAUGAGUGCUAAGUGUUAGAGGGUUUCCGCCCUUUAGUGCUGCAGCAAACGCAUUAAGCACUCCGCCUGGGGAGUACGGCUCGCAAGACUGAAACUCAAAGGAAUUGACGGGGGCCCGCACAAGCGGUGGAGCAUGUGGUUUAAUUCGAAGCAACGCGAAGAACCUUACCAGGUCUUGACAUCCUCUGACAACCCUAGAGAUAGGGCUUCGGGGGUGGGGGGCAGAGUGACAGGUGGUGCAUGGUUGUCGUCAGCUCGUGUCGUGAGAUGUUGGGUUAAGUCCCGCAACGAGCGCAACCCUUGAUCUUAGUUGCCAGCAUUCAGUUGGGCACUCUAAGGUGACUGCCGGUGACAAACCGGAGG
rnacentral:rRNA from 1 species